AUGUCAAAGUUUGGUUGAAAAUAAAGUUGUUUCUUCACUAUACUUGUCUGCUAUACUCCUAUAGCAGCCAGGGACACUUGGUCUCAUACAU
rnacentral:snoRNA from 1 species